AACGCACCUUGCGCUCCCUGGUAUUCCUAGGAGCAUGCCUGUUUGAGUGUCGUGAACAUAUCAACCCCAUAAGGAUUUUGGUCUCUAUGGUGGCUUGGAUUUGGGGGCUUGCUGGUCAUUAAUUUGGUCGGCUCUCCUUAAAUGCAUUAGCUUUGGACUUGUUCUGUAGGCUGCUUGGCGUGAUAAUUAUCUACGCUUUGCAAUCGUCUGUGGAAUAUUAUAGGUCUGGCUUCUAAUCGUCCUCUGGACAUUGUAAAUUCGUUUUGACCUCAAAUCAGGUAGGACUACCCGCUGAACUUAA
rnacentral:misc_RNA from 1 species